CCUAUAGAGAUCUAAAACCUUGAUUCUUAAUCAUUUUAAAAGAAAGAAGGAGACAAACAAUAUUAUUAAGUAACUAAUUAUUGAUAAAAAAGGCAUAUUCUUUUGGAUUAAUAUUAUCUCUUUCCAAUUAUCAUAUCUUUUUGAUACAAAUUAUUUUUAAUAUAUCAUGAGAUGAAUUUGAAGGAUUAGAUUCAAAGUUUACAAUACUACUUUGAAGGUAUAUACUGAUACCAUGAUCAUAUAGUGCUCGCGC
rnacentral:lncRNA from 1 species